GAUGAACGCUAGCUACAGGCUUAACACAUGCAAGUCGAGGGGAAACGGCAUUAGUUCCUUGACCUUUUGGGCGGUCAACGGGCCCCCGGUGGGUUAAGCGUUAUCCAACCUUCCCUUAACUAGGGGAUAACUUGCGGAAGGGCGGCCUAAUACCUUAUGGUCUUACUUGACGGCAUCAGAUUUGAAUUAAGGAUUUUUCGGUUUGGGAUGGGAAUGCGUCUGAUUAGCUUGUUGGCGGGGUAACGGCCCACCAAGGCAACGAUCAGUAGGGGUUCUGAGAGGAAGGUCCCCCACAUUGGAACUGAGACACGGUCCAAACUCCUACGGGAGGCAGCAGUGAGGAAUAUUGGUCAAUGGGCGAGAGCCUGAACCAGCCAAGUAGCGUGCAGGAUGACGGCCCUAUGGGUUGUAAACUGCUUUUGUAUGGGGAUAAAGUCAAUCACGUGUGAUUGUUUGCAGGUACCAUACGAAUAAGGACCGGCUAAUUCCGUG
rnacentral:rRNA from 1 species